GUACUGACCUCUACUGUGGUGUUGAGCCUCUUCUUGACUCUGCCUAGUUUUAUAGAAUUAUUUGAAGCAUGCAUAUGAAAAAAUAAGUGCAACUGAUCACUUUUAAUGCAAAACAUCAGAAAAAGUAAUUGAAGAAAUCUUAUUCCAUCACCAAAAGAACCAGUGAAUGCAUCUUCUAUGGUGUGUGAAUACAGCUAAAGCAAAACUUGUUUUGUUUGUGACAAAAAACCUUUCCUGCAGUAGUCUCCAGGUUCAUCAUAUUUGUGUGUAUACGGGUGGAGAACCUCAUAAGUGCCCUUAUUUUGACUAGAGAACAACCUGAGAAGAACAAACUUCACUUUAAAACGCCUAACUGGGAACCUACCACAAGAAACAUGCCAACACAGCCCCUUUUGGCAUAUAUGGAGGGACCGGAUGGUAUAGCCAGUACUGUUGGUGCCCAGAUGGAGAGUAACGAUGCUUCAAUGCCAAUAAAAGGAACCAACACCAUUUCUUACAAAGGCUUGCAAGAAAAGUUCCUAAUGCAAGCUGAAGGAUGCAUGCCUUUGGAUUGCAUGUUUUGUGAUCAGACAUUUAAACACUCUGAAGAACUUGGUAAACAUGUCUUAACUCAGCAUAGGCCUACGCUUUGUGAACCAGCAGUUCUGCGUGUGGAAGCAAAAUAUCUUAGCCAUCUUGAUAAAUGUCAAGUGAGAGACUGUCCUCCAUCAAAUAGUGAGAAGGAUAAUGAAGAAUUUAGCUGUGAAGUUUGUGGACAAACAUUUGAUGAGGCUUUUGAUGUUGAGACUCAUAUGAAAAAACAUAAGGAUUCUUUCACAUAUUGGUGUAAUGUAUGUGGCAGAAGAUUUAAAGAGCCUUGGUUUCUCAAAAAUCACAUGAGAACACAUACUGGUAAACCUGGUUCGAGAAACAAGCUUCAGCAAGGUUCUGAAUGCCCAAUAACAAUAAAUGAGGUGGUGCAGGAGCAUGUAACUGAAAAUGUAAUAUCACCUUACAAAAUCUGCAUGGUUUGUGGUUUCCUAUUUCUCAACAAAGAGACUCUAAUUGAGCACAGUAAAGUGCACACCAAAGAAUCUGUGUCCAGUGGUGAUAAUCCACAAGUCCUUGAUGGAGCCAAUAAAGAUGGAAUGUAUUCACAAGAUCAGUUUCUGCAGUUUUUGGACUUAAGGCCAAACUUGACUUCAGAAAACAGCAAAUUGCAAAAACCUGUGAAAUGGAUAGCUGAGCUAGAUCCAUUCAACACAUAUCAAGCAUGGCAGCUAGCCACCAAAGGGAAAGUUGCAGUUGGCCAUGGGCAGAUCAAAGAACCAGGGCAAGAAGGAAGUACUGACAAUGAUGAUUCAUCUUCUGAUAAAGAAGAACCUGGUGAAAUUUGGAAUGCAAAUAAAAAUAACCAGGUUAGCCAGACAGAAACUACAGGGAAGUCAAAGGUAAAUAAAAGCAGUUAUACAGGAACUGGUAUCGUGUCUCAAGACAAAGUGAAACAUCCCAGUGGAGAAGUGCCUUCUAUGGAAGUGGAAUCUAAAUUGUCACAAAACAAAGAUAAACCAACGCACUGCUCAGUGUGUGGCAAAGCCUUUAGAACCUACCAUCAACUUGUCCUGCAUUCGAGAGUACAUAAAAAAGACAGGAGGAGUGAUGGAGAAACUUCAGCCACCGCCAGAACAUGCUGUACAGAUGUGAUUGUAACUUUGGAUGAAAAUGGAGCAGUAGAGCGAACAGAGGGAGGCUCUGAAGACGGCUCUGAAGAUGGACUUACAGAGGCCCUUCAUUUAGAUAAGAAUGAAGAUGUCCUGGAAAGAACAAAAGUUAAAAACCUUGGAGCCUCCAGAGAAUGCAGCUACUGUGGAAAAUAUUUCCGCUCAAAUUAUUACCUCAAUAUUCAUCUCCGAACUCAUACAGGUGAGAAACCAUACAAAUGUGAAUUUUGUGAGUAUGCAGCAGCCCAGAAAACUUCAUUAAGGUAUCAUUUAGAGAGGCAUCACAAGGACAAGCAGGCUGAUAUUGCAACAGAUGUGAAAAAUGAUAGCAAAGUUUCGUUACAAAGUCAGGAGACAGAUCUUUUGCUGGCUGCUGAUGGUGCUCAAGAAACCAAAAAUUUGAAAAGGUGUAUCGAUGGUGCCAAAGAUGCUGAAGGCUGCCCACCUGUAAAGCAACACAAAGGGAUUGCUUCCUUUCAGAGUGUACUGGGCAGUGCAGUCCGUUUGACCAUGAAAUAUGAUACUCAGGAAUCAAACAAAGGUGCAGAUUGUAAUAGCUCAAAUCAAAUGAAUGAGAAUGCAUCCAGUCCUUCUCUGGAAAAGCUAAAAGCAGAGAACAAAGCAGUGGAGUCCCAGACAAAUGAUCUUUAUAAAAGAGGGACAGAGACUCCUGAGGCAUCAGAAGAUGAUGUCCAGUACGUUCGUGCUUUAAAGAAUGGAAAUAACAUGGAUGAAAUGCGAGGAAACACAGAAAACUGCGAAUAUAAACAUACAGUGGACUCUCAAGAAAAGCCAUUAAAUUUAUCUCUUGGGACUUCACAAGAAUGUUCAGUGAUCUCAACUAGAGGCUUGUUAGCAACCAGCACCUGUCCAUUUUGUACUUACCGAACUUUUUAUCCAGAGGUCUUAAUGAUGCACCAGAGGCUGAUGCACAAGUACAAUCCUGAUGCUGUUAACAAAAACGGUUACAGAAAUAAGGCUGUGGCCAGGGCCAGACGUACUGGGUGCCCUCCAGCCCUUCUUGGUAAAGAUGUGCUUCCCCUGUCAUUUAAUUCUAGUAAAAGGAAGGCUUCCCUGUCUACUCAGCCAAAAUUGUUGCAAACAGGAAAGGCUAAACAGUGUCCCUGUCUACAGAGCAAAGUCCCUGUGUUUCCAUUGUCUGACUCCAGCAGUUCUGCUCCAAGUAACUUGAAGGCUUUUAAACCACAGAAUAAUAUUGCAGCUCAGGCGAGUAGCUAUAGACAACCACAGCAGGAAAUGCACUCAAAUCCUAGUAUCUCUUCUGCAGUGGACAGGAUGAAAAGGCCUGAACUGAGAGUAAAAGCUCCAAGUAUCUCAGCUUCUCAACCUGUAAACAGCAGUGUCAAUGGCUUGCUUGACUGUCCCCUUAGCGAAUCUGCCUGGCCCAUUCAUCGAGGAAGGGAUUAUCUCUGUAAUAGAUCAGCAGGUAACAUAAACUUAGAAUAUGGAGAGCCAUCUUCUAAAAGAGCAAAACCUAAUCUGUUAGGUAUUGAACACAUUGACUCUGCGGUGGCCAAUUACAGAAGAUAUGGAAUGAACCGAUUUCGUGUUACAAACAGAUAUGCAAAUAUGUUACCUCAGGAAUGCUCUCACACCAAACCUGCAUCCCCUGUUUUGCCAACCAAACAAGGGCUUCUGAACUCAGAUGAAGUUGAGUCUCCUAAUGUACUGACUGUUCUAAAACCCUAUGAGCCAUAUAGUCCUGCAUCACUUUACAGUUCUUGUGGACCUAGCAAUGGCCAAGCAACUAGCUCUUCAAUAGAAGGAAGGAGGCCAGUAGCGUACCAGCACCUGUCAAACAGCAUGCUACAGAAACGAAAUUAUGAGAGUCUUAUUGGCAAUGCACACUUCCGACCAAAUGACAAGAAAACUUGAUUGUUUACUUUGUGAGAAGAGUGAGGCAGCAGUUUGCAUUGAGAAUGCAGAACUGCACUGGACAAGCUGUUGGAAGGAAAGCUAGAGGUUUUGGCAGCUGGCACAACAGGUUUUGGCACUCAAGGAUGCAUAGAAGUCAGCUUGAAAUUGUGGGGAAAAGCAGGGAAUAGAAGCAAUGGCCUCCGGCAUCCUAGGACCUAAACUUCUAUAGAGUCAUUGGAAAAAGACUUUUGAAGUGCCCGAGCGCUCUACAAGAUACAGGAAAAUGAUAGGCAACUUCAAAGGGACAGCAGCCAUCUGACUAAGCACUUGCUGCACCCAUUGAAGUCCAUGGGAGUUGUCAUCUUCAAUGGACUUUGAAUCAGACUCUCCUGAUGCUGUAGUUGGACAUAUGGUACUAACUUGCAAGGCUGCAGCUAGACACAAGUCAUCCCUGUGUUAUUUCUAGAUGUCAUUUUUUGAUGUACUUUCAUUAGAUUUUUAUGGAAGCAAAAAAUCUGUUCCUACAAUAUCCAGCUAGCAAGAAAGAAGAAAUCUAGGUAAAUUUUUGCUUCAUUUAAGACUCUUUUGACAACUAAUGAUAAUGUUCCAGACUCUAAAUGCUAUACAGUUAUCCAUAAUUAGGACUAAAGGCGUGUCAAGCUAAAUAAUAUGCUAUCUAUGUGAUUUACACUGAUUAUGCAGAGCAUUUUCACUAUCUGAUUUUUGUCUAUACAUCCAUUUUUAAACUGCAUCACAGAGGUAGCCUUGCAGCACCUUUAUUAAGUAAAUAAAAUGUCUCAUAAAGCAUAUUUAAUUUACAAGACAGAAAUCCCAAUAUAAUUGGCAAAAAUGUUUUCAGAGUUCAACAAGACUCAUUAGUCCUGCUAAUAUUUCCAAAUAAUUUCUCGCACUCGUUUAGGGGGCAGUCCCAAUCACAAAGAAGUCAAUGAUUUCAGUGGGAUCAGCUGAGAUCCUCAGCUUGUGCCAAACACUGCAUGUAUAUUGAAGUCCGGGGAAUUAAACUGAGCCAUGGCGUAACUAUCUAGAGGUACUACUUUAGCUCAUAAGCAAAUAUGUUUGAAAAAAAUCUCCCUUCUUUUUUCCGAGUCUCUUCUUUUUGGAAAGUUCUGAUUUCUGUAUUUUUCAUUCAUUGGUUCUAGAUUCUUUAAACCGUCUUCUGCAAUGAUCUUAAGAAUGUGCUUCAGUAUUUUUCUGCACCAGUUUCUGUAUGAGCAGACAAGAGCUACUUAAGCUAUACCUAUACAGUGCUGUUAAUCCAGAUUUCUACUUGAGUUUUAACCUCAAUCUCCUCCUGUGGCAUAGAAAAAACACAGAUAGAUUUGCACCUGCAGGGCUGGGGUAGCUUAUCCGGCUGCAGACAUAGUUAGACCCACUUAUUUUGGUACCCACACACUUUGCAAUAAGGACCUGGUUCAAAAUCACACAAAUGUUGAUAAUCCUCCUCUGUCCAUGUACAAAGGUGGGUAAAUUUUUCUACAAUUGACUAGGACAAAGGAAACACCCCAAAUAGAAAUCAAUUAAAAAUAAUGAGCUAUACAUCAA